rnacentral:rRNA from 1 species
AUUGAACGCUGGCGGCAGGCCUAACACAUGCAAGUCGAGCGGAUGAAGGGAGCUUGCUCCUGGAUUCAGCGGCGGACGGGUGAGUAAUGCCUAGGAAUCUGCCUGGUAGUGGGGGAUAACGUCCGGAAACGGGCGCUAAUACCGCAUACGUCCUGAGGGAGAAAGUGGGGGAUCUUCGGACCUCACGCUAUCAGAUGAGCCUAGGUCGGAGUAGCUAGUUGGUGGGGUAAAGGCCUACCAAGGCGACGAUCCGUAACUGGUCUGAGAGGAUGAGCAGUCACACUGGAACUGAGACACGGUCCAGACUCCUACGGGAGGCAGCAGUGGGGAAUAUUGGACAAUGGGCGAAAGCCUGAUCCAGCCAUGCCGCGUGUGUGAAGAAGGUCUUCGGAUUGUAAAGCACUUUAAGUUGGGAGGAAGGGCAGUAAGUUAAUACCUUGCUGUUUUGACGUUACCAACAGAAUAAGCACCGGCUAACUUCGUG